CAAAAAAUGAGGACAUAUAUCAGUCUUUGCAACAAUUACCAACAGUAGCUGCAAGAAAGGCUUCAGGGAAGAAGAUGAUGGUUCUAUUUUUCAUCAUCAUUAUCUUCUUACUGACCACCAUCUUUUUGGUCACUGUGAUACAUUACUACCACUUUAGACAAAGUCAUGCAGAAGUACUGAACAAGCAGAAGUCAACCC